GCCUGAUAUUCAUAUGAUGAAGACAUAAUCUUUCAAUCAGUUUAAUUGAGGUCUGGAGCUGGCAUGUCAGUUAACUGCUAGUAGUCUGUUGUUAUUUAUGUAUUAUUGUCAUUUUAUUUAUUUUCUUUUGUUAAAUCUUUUGACAUCGGACUCGGACUUCUCUUGAACUGAAUUUUAAUGUGCGUAUUGUUAUGCGUUUCCUUUUCUACAUUGGCUAGAGG
rnacentral:lncRNA from 1 species